UUCAGAUUUUCAAAUUUUCGUUCUCACACGGGACGCACGUGUUUACCUCUAUCUCACCUAUGACCAGCCCCAAUUAAGGGGACUAUUUAUAGACACAGCACAUUGAUAUUCCCCGUACUGGUGCCACCUAACUACCAGGGACACACAGAGCUAUACCCUGUUGUGGAUUAUCAAGGUAAGACAGCACUAUCAGAUUCACAUGCUGUGGCAAUUGUUUUUGCUAUAAGACAUGGAACCUUUCUAUAUAUUAUUCCUUAAUUAAUACCUUACCUCAAUUUAUAUCUUUAUAUCUAUAGGACUUCAUUGCCAAUUUCUGUUACCCUUUCCAUGCAUAUGGAUUGAAGCUGCCCAGUUUGGCAAUCGUCGAGGCAGAUCUACCCAUCUGCUUAGCCGCGCUCGGCUCACUACUUUUUGUAUAGAUCCCACUGUGUGAAUACAUCCAUGGAUUAGGCAUUUUGUUUAUUGCUUACCAGCAAUUAACUGCCAUACCACUUUAUGCAAUCUUAUUUUUCAUUUUAUGAUAUUACUCCCCUAAUUGGUUGAAGCAAUAUUCACUUGUGGAUUACAACCAACAUUAGGCUAAUACAAGACCGCUCGUUGAUUAUCACAAACGCGAUAUAUUUUCUGUAAGUCUUAUAUAGAUUUGUUUAAAGCUCAUUGCUAGUGAUAGAUACGCUAUUACCAAUCCUGCAUACUGUAUUAUAUAUACUCUCCAUUAUGAGAAUCUUUCCAUCACAGAUCAGGGUUUUUCAUUAUUCAUUUUUCUUUCUUUUUUCUUUUCUCUUUCUUGUUUUCUUUCUUUUUCUAUGGGUUCCUCUUUCCCCUCUCCCCUUUUGGUUAGCUGUUUGGCUUGCUGUCCUGUUGCCUUGUCACAUAUUGGCGCACUAAGACAAACUCUACAACAAUUAUCGUUUCAUUAUAUAUCCUGCAACCUUUGUUGCAUUCUGUAUAUCUAUGUGUAUUUUUUAUCUAAAAAUGUGUAUUUUGUUUUCUUAAUUUUUGAUGUACAUAUACCUUAAACUGUCAUUGUUUUCUGUAUAUGUCUUAUUAGAAUGAGAUAUCUAUGCUCCUGAAGAAGCGCUAAUCCCAAAGUGCGCAACAUGUCGAGCAAGCCCUCCUGUUCCUCUGGAUAAACCACCUGGUCACUUGUGAUAUAACCCACUCUAUGAUUUUGCUUUGUAUUGUUGAAGCUUUCUAUGUUAGAAUCAUACAAUGAAUGUGAACCUUGUGUGUGGAACCAGUUAUUCAUUUAAUUUCAUUUGUUGAUUUUAUAUCUAUAACUGUUUUUAUGAUAUUUCUAUAUCAAUAAUAAAAAACAUUUCUAGUUUUCCAUACCACUUGUAUCGUGUGCCUUUAAAGCCCAACCUACUAGUUCUUAGUCCAAUUCCACAUUAUCGGGGCGUUGGCACACUUACCACUGGUGCAUCCGUAGUAUCACCCUACGAUUGAUGUACAUUAAAUUAGGCCUGUAUCUUCUCACCUCUCUCUUCCUCAUCCAGGUGCCAUAUGUAUUUCUUCAUUAUAUGUCCGUAAUGAAUUUUUUUUUGUGCUUUACUUAUGUGGCUUUGUAAAGUGUGGACCAGCUUUAUACUACAUUGCUUGUACCAAUUGUAUACUUGGCCAUACAACUUUUGCUAAUAACUGUUAUUGUAACAUGUCUUUAUGUUUCAAUAAAAUAAAUCCCUGCUUGUAAAAUAA